ACACAUCCGAGAGGAGGAAGUCCAAGACGGCCGAGAGAAGACGCGCUGUGGAGGCGUUUAAGUUCUGGGUGGGACUUCCAAACAGUCUCUACAAAUCGGAGUGGAGACCUUUCGAGUGAGAAAAAAAUCGUAACUUGACAAGCUUUACCUGGAAAUCUUUGACGAGGCAGCGAAGAAAAUUAGAAAUCGCGCAUGGAAAGCUUUGCAACUUGGAAAAUCUCACUAUCAGCUUGUUCUCGGACAGCGCUAGACGAUCUAGCACCGAUCCUUGAGUGCUACAUUGUACCUGGCUGAUCUUGGAGCGCCCGAUCGAUCGCCGCGCCCAUU
rnacentral:lncRNA from 1 species